rnacentral:misc_RNA from 1 species
GCUUAUGCUAUUGUCAAGAAAACUUUUGUUAGUCCAGAAGAUAUGGUGGCAAAGGAAAUCAUCGUUCAGAAGGACAGCCCCAGGGGUAUACAUUUUCGGCGUGCAGGACCUCGAGAAAAGGUUUUCUUUACACCGGAAGAAGUCCGUGCUUGUAUUGUGACAUGUGGUGGUUUAUGCCCAGGAAUCAAUACAGUGAUUCGUGAAAUUGUAUGCGGC